AACGAACGCUGGCGGCAUGCCUUACACAUGCAAGUCGAACGCGAAAGCACUUUCGGGUGUUAGUAGAGUGGCAAACGGGUGAGUAACGCGUGGGAAUCUACCUUAUAGUACGGAAUAGCCUCGGGAAACUGGGAUUAAUACCGUAUAUUCCCUUCGGGGGAAAGAUUUAUCGCUAUAAGAUGAGCCCGCGUCAGAUUAGCUAGUUGGUGGGGUAAAAGCCUACCAAGGCAACGAUCUGUAGCUGGUCUGAGAGGACGAUCAGCCACAUUGGGACUGAGACACCGCCCAAACGCCUACGGGAGGCAGCAGUGGGGAAUAUUGGACAAUGGGCGAAAGCCUGAUCCAGCAAUGCCGCGUGAAUGAUGAAGGCCUUAGGGUUGUAAAGGUCUUUUAGUGGGGAAGAUAAUGACGGUACCCACAGAAAAAGCACCGGCUAACUUCGUGCCAGCAGCCGCCGUAA
rnacentral:rRNA from 1 species